GGCUCUAGCUCAGUGGUAGAGUGCUUACCUAGCAUGUGUGGGGCCCUGGGUUCUAUCCCUAGUAACCA
rnacentral:tRNA from 1 species